rnacentral:misc_RNA from 1 species
AACGCACAUUGCGCCUUCUGGUUAUUCCGGGAGGCAUGCCUGUCUGAGCGUCAUUUACAUCAUUCAAUCCGCCUUUGGUGGUUUGGUUUUGGAAGCAGGACCCUUUUGGGUCUCUUCUGUAAUUGAUGGACAACCGAAAUACCUUUUUGUGAGUGUCUUCGUUGUGGCGAAGAAAUUCUCUCUCAGCUUUGGGACAUUUUCAAAUGGUAUUUUUUGCUCGGUUCAAACUUUGUGGGUAGUCAAUUCCAAUUGGCUGCACGCGUUUUACAAGUUUGACCUCAGACAGGUAGGAAUACCCGCUGAACUUAA